GGGUGACCGGCCACACUGGGACUGAGAUACGGCCCAGACUCCUACGGGAGGCAGCAGUAGGGAGUAUUGCACAAUGGGCGCAAGCCUGAUGCAGCAACGCCGCGUGGAUGACGAAGCUUCUUGGAGUGUAAAAUCCUGUCAGUGGGGACGAACAACAGCGGGAGGAAAUGCCCGCUGCCUGACUGUACCCGCAGAGGAAGUUCCGACUAACUCCGUGCCAGCAGCCGCGGUAACACGGGGGGAACAAGCGUUGUUCGGAUUUACUGGGCGUAAAGGGCACGCAGGCGGGAAGGCAAGUCAGAUGUGAAAACCCAGGGCUUAACCCUGGGCCUGCAUUUGAUACUGCUUUUCUUGAGUACGGGAGAGGAUGGCGGAAUUCCUGGUGUAGCGGUGAAAUGCGUAGAUAUCAGGAAGAACACCGGUGGCGAAGGCGACCAUCUGGACCGAUACUGACGCUCAGGUGCGAAGGCCGGGGGAGCAAACAGGAUUAGAUACCCUGGUAGUCCCGGCGGUAAACGAUGGGUACUAGGUUUGGGGGUAUCGACCCCCCCAGUGCCGCAGCUAACGCAUUAAGUACCCCGCCUGGGGAGUACGACCGCAAGGUUGAAACUCAAAGGAAUUGACGGGGGCCCGCACAAGCGGUGGAGUAUGUGGUUUAAUUCGACGCAACGCGAAGAACCUUACCUGGGUUUGACAUGCUUCGGAAAGCUACAGAGAUGUAGCCCCCUCUUCGGAGGCCGUUGCACAGGUGCUGCAUGGCUGUCGUCAGCACGUGCCGUGCGGUGUUGGGUUAAGUCCCGCAACGAGCGCAACCCUUGUCCUUAGUUGCCAUUCGUUUAUUCGAGGAACUCUAAGGAUACUGCCAGCGACAAGCUGGAGGAAGGUGGGGAUGACGUCAAGUCCUCAUGGCCCUUACAUCCAGGGCUACACACGUACUACAAUGGCCGGUACAGAGGGCUGCAAGCCCGCGAGGUGGAGCUAAUCCCUAAAACCGGUCUCAGUUCAGAUUGGAGUCUGCAACUCGACUCCAUGAAGGUGGAAUCGCUAGUAAUCGCGCAUCAGCAUGGCGCGGUGAAUACGUUCCCGGGCCUUGUACACACCGCCCGUCAAGCCAUGGGAGUCGGAAGUACCCGAAGCCGUUGACCUAACCGCAAGGAGGGCAACGUCGAAGGUAAAGUCGAUGACUGGGGCUAAGUCGAAACAAGGUA
rnacentral:rRNA from 1 species